AGUGGGGGACCUUCGGGCCUCAUGCCAUCAGAUGUGCCCAGAUGGGAUUAGCUAGUAGGUGGGGUAACGGCUCACCUAGGCGACGAUCCCUAGCUGGUCUGAGAGGAUGACCAGCCACACUGGAACUGAGACACGGUCCAGACUCCUACGGGAGGCAGCAGUGGGAAUAUUGCACAAUGGGCGCAAGCCUGAUGCAGCCAUGCCGCGUGUGUGAAGAAGGCCUUCGGGUUGUAAAGCACUUUCAGGGGGAGGAAGGCGUUAAGGUUAAUAACCUUGGCGAUUGACGUUACCCGCAGAAGAAGCACCGGCUAACUCCGUGCCAGCAGCCGCGGUAAUACGGAGGGUGCAAGCGUUAAUCGGAAUUACUGGGCGUAAAGCGCACGCAGGCGGUCUGUCAAGUCGGAUGUGAAUCCCCGGGCUCAACCUGGUAAAUCGACCGCCUGGGGAGUACGGCCGCAAGGUUAAAACUCAAAUGAAUUGACGGGGGCCCCACAAGCGGUGGAGCAUGUGGUUUAAUUCGAUGCAACGCGAAGAACCUUACCUGGUCUUGACAUCCACAGAACUUUCCAGAGAUGGAUUGGUGCCUUCGGGAACUGUGAGACAGGUGCUGCAUGGCUGUCGUCAGCUCGUGUUGUGAAAUGUUGGGUUAAGUCCCGCAACGAGCGCAACCCUUAUCCUUUGUUGCCAGCGGUUCGGCCGGGAACUC
rnacentral:rRNA from 1 species